AACGAACGCUGGCGGUGUGCUUAACACAUGCAAGUCGAACGAGAAAGUUUCCUUCGGGGAACUAGUAAAGUGGCGCAAGGGUGAGUAACACGUGAAUAAUCUGCCCUCGAGACUGGGAUAACCUGAGGAAACUUAGGCUAAUACCGGAUAAGACCACAUUUCAUAUGGGAUGUGGGAAAAGGAGUCUCAAUCUUCACUCGAGGAUGAGUUCGCGGACCAUUAGCUUGUUGGUGAGAUAAAAGCUCACCAAGGCAACGAUGGUUAGCCGACCUGAGAGGGUGAUCAGCCACACUGGGAUUGAGAUACGGCCCAGACUCCUACGGGAGGCAGCAGUGGGGAAUUUUGCGCAAUGGGGGAAACCCUGACGCAGCAACGCCGCGUGACCGAUG
rnacentral:rRNA from 1 species